CAAUAAAUGUAUUCACAAAUUCAGGAUUUGGAGAGUUAUGACGAUGUUCCAGAAGAAGAUGACAUGACUGUAUUUGAAUAAAUGUACAGUAUAUUUCUUAGCAAAUA